CCUACGGGGGGCAGCAGUGAGGAAUAUUGGUCAAUGGGCGAGAGCCUGAACCAGCCAAGUCGCGUGAGGGAGUACUGCCCUAUGGGUUGUAAACCUCUUUUGUCGGGGAGCAAAAGCCGGACGUGUCCGGCUGUGAGAGUACCCGAAGAAAAAGCAUCGGCUAACUCCGUGCCAGCAGCCGCGGUAAUACGGAGGAUGCGAGCGUUAUCCGGAUUUAUUGGGGUAAAAGGGUGCGCAGGCGGAGUUUUAAGUCAGCGGUCAAAUCGUGGGGCUCAACCCCAUCCAGCCGUUGAAACUGGGGAUCUAGAGUGUGGGAGAGGUAUGCGGAAUGCGUGGUGUAGCGGUGAAAUGCAUAGAUAUAACGCAGAACCCCGAUUGCGAAGGCAGCAUACCGGUGCACAACUGACGCUCAGGCACGAAAGCGUGGGUAUCGAACAGGAUUAGAUACCCUAGUAGUC
rnacentral:rRNA from 1 species